AUCCUACGGGACGCAGCAGUGGGGAAUAUUGGACAAUGGGGGAAACCCUGAUCCAGCGACGCCGCGUGAGUGAAGAAGUAUUUCGGUAUGUAAAGCUCUAUCAGCAGGGAAGAAAAUGACGGUACCUGACUAAGAAGCCCCGGCUAACUACGUGCCAGCAGCCGCGGUAAUACGUAGGGGGCAAGCGUUAUCCGGAUUUACUGGGUGUAAAGGGAGCGUAGACGGCAUUGCAAGUCUGAUGUGAAAAUCCGGGGCCCAACCCCGGAACUGCAUUGGAAACUGUUUAUCUAGAGUGUCGGAGAGGC
rnacentral:rRNA from 1 species